CUUGACAAACAUAAGAGGUCCAGCCUGCCCAGUGACAAUGUUCAACGGCCGCGGUACCCUAACCGUGCAAAGGUAGCAUAAUCACUUGUUCUUUAAAUGAGGACUUGUAUCAAUGGCAUCACGAGGGUUGUACUGUCUCCUUUUUCCAAUCAGUGAAACUGAUCUCCCCGUGAAGAAGCUGGGAUUUUAAUAUAAGACGAGAAGACCCCAUGGAGCUUUAAAUUGCGUACUUACUUUAUGUGAAAACACCAAUAAAACCUAAAAAACUUAAGUACAAUUUUAGGUUGGGGCGACCACGGAGUAUAGUAUAACCUCCACAACAAACAGGCCACACCUUUAUCUACGAGCCACACCUCUAAGAAUUAACAUAUUAAUGUUUAAUGACCCGAAUAUUCGAUCAAUGAACCA
rnacentral:rRNA from 1 species